GAUGAACGCUAGCUACAGGCUUAACACAUGCAAGUCGAGGGGUAACGAGAGGAAAGCUUGCUUUCCUUGUCGACGACCGGCGCACGGGUGAGUAACGCGUAUCCAACCUGCCCCCAACUAGGGAAUAACCUUGCGAAAGUAAGACUAAUACCCUAUAGUUUCCUCAGAUGUCAUCUGACGAGGAAUAAAGAUUUAUCGGUUGUGGAUGGGGAUGCGUCUGAUUAGCUUGUUGGCGGGGUAACGGCCGACCAAGGCAACGAUCAGUAGGGGUUCUGAGAGGAAGGUCCCCCACAUUGGAACUGAGACACGGUCCAAACUCCUACGGGAGGCAGCAGUGAGGAAUAUUGGUCAGUGGGCGGAAGCCUGAACCAGCCAAGUAGCGUGCAGGAUGACGGCCCUAUGGGUUGUAAACUGCUUUUAUACAGGAAUAAAGUUAGCCACGUGUGGUUAUUUGUAGGUACUGUAUGAAUAAGGACCGGCUAGUUCCGUGCCAGCAGCCGCGGUAA
rnacentral:rRNA from 1 species